CCUACGGGAGGCAGCAGUGGGGGAUAUUGCACAAUGGGGGAAACCCUGAUGUAGCGACGCCGCGUGAGUGAAGGAGCGUCUCGGUACGUAAAGCUCUAUCAGCAGGGAAGAAAAUGACGGUACCUGACUAAGAAGCCCCGGCUAACUACGUGCCAGCAGCCGCGGUAAUACGUAGGGGGCAAGCGUUAUCCGGAUUUACUGGGUGUAAAGGGGGCGUAGACGGCAGCACAAGUCUGGAGUGAAAGCCCGGGGCCCAACCCCGGAACUGCUUUUGAAACUGGACGGCUGGAGUGCAGGAGGGGUAGGCGGAAUUCGUAGUGUAGCGGUGAAAUGCGUAGAUAUUAGGAGGAACACCGGUGGCGAAGGCGGCCUGCUGGACUGUAACUGACGUUGAGGCUCGAAAGCGUGGGGAGCAAACAGGAUUAGAUACCCUUGUAGUC
rnacentral:rRNA from 1 species